rnacentral:lncRNA from 1 species
AGGUAACCAAUGUUAGAGCCUGGUGUGUAUCUUUCAGAGGAUAGUUUCUUUGUGAUUGUGAGUAGCUUAGCUGUUGAGCAAGCCACUGGAUACAAGACUAACCUUACAGAAAGGUCAAUCCUGGAUGGGUAGGAUGUCAUCAACAUAUGAGGCAUGGUUAAAACCAUGAAUGUGGAUGAGAUCCUCCCGGAGGAUCACAUAAAGAGGUCAGCGCACUGUGACCUGACUUACGGGGAUUACUAUAUGGAAGCUGCAUACAAAGAUCAGAGGUCCAGCAGGGAGAGUGGGGACAAUGAGUUUUGGGUGGAAAUUCUGACAACACAGGAUUAAAACACUGAGGAUGUCCCUUUACAUCGAGAAAGUGCUGAAUAAACAUCCUGAAGGAGUGGAAAUGAACAGUGUCCUGUAACCCUCAGAGUGAGACUAGAGUCAGAAUGCAGGCUUUUCUCAUUUGAAAUCUAUAUGCCACAGAGAGGAUCCAGAGAGCCCAUCUCCGGUCAGUUAUCUGUAUUUGUAUGUCAACUACAGCAUCAAAAAGCAUAGGCAUGGAUACUAAGGACCCCCUCUGUACACCAACGCCAGUCCAAAGGACAGUGUGUCACUGUGAACUGGAAAUUCAUCUCUCUUCUUCAAUUUUUUUCUACCUACUUUAUGCUUUAUCUCUAAGUUGAGGCUGUUUAUGGCCUCAUCCUCAAUUACCUUGUCCCUC